UUUUACAACAAUACCACCAUGAAUGCACCUGAUCUCAUCUGAUCUCAGAAGCUAAGCAGGGUUGAGCCUGGCCAAUACAUAGAUGGAAGAC
rnacentral:rRNA from 1 species